rnacentral:rRNA from 1 species
AUGGCGGAGAUUGUGAUUCUUCUAGCCAUUAAAAAGAUUGGAAUUGCCUUGGCAAAUGGAGCGGCACACCAAGCCAGCGCGUUGGUUGGAAAGUACAAGACACAACUGCAGGAGUUACAGCGCAGCAUGGAUCGUGUCAUGAGGGAGCUUCGCGUAAUGCAUGAUUUUCUUUGUCAAAUGGACAUUCGAAACCGCAACUUACAAGUGCAAGAGAGCUGGUUGGGGGAAGUACGAAAAGUAGCACAUUUGAUGGAGGACACGGUGGAUGAGUAUUUGUAUCAAGUUGGUCGGGAACAUGAUAUAGGGUGUUGCUUUUACUUGAAUAAAGGGUUCAAAAAACCAAGAUCUCUGCUUUCUUUGAACAUGAUAGCUUUCAACGUGAAGGAAAUAGAGAAAGACCUUUCACACCUGUAUGAGACAAAAAACCGUUGGGUUCCUGUGAACGGUGGGGAUACUGGCAGCUCAAAUUAUAUCGUCGAGAGGUCCCAAGAUCUAGCAAACAUCUCACGCUCGCUUGAUGAUGAAGAUCUAGUGGGGGUGGAUGAAAACAAAGAAAAACUUGUGAUGUGGUUGGCAGGUGAUGAUCUAGAACGCUCUGUGGUAGCAUUGCUCAGAAUGGGAGGGCUUGGUAAAACAACGUUAGCUGCAAGUGUCUACAAGAAGGUGAGAGAGAAAUUCCAGUGUCAUGUUUGGGUCUCCAUCUCUCAAAAUUAUUCUAAAGAAGAUGUCUUGAGGAAUAUAGUCAAGAAACUUUUUGAACAUAAUGUCAGUGUUCUAUGUAGCACUGUGGCUAUGGACAUCACGUGCCUUGAAGAGACGGUGAAGAAGUUUCUGGAGCAACAUAAGUAUUUGAUUGUGUUGGAUGAUGUUUGGACUCCAGAAGCAUUUGAUGACUUGUCUAGGGCACUUGCUCAAAAUGAUAAGGGCAGUAGAUUGAUUAUCACAACAAGGGAAGGCAGUGUUGCUGCGCUUGCCUCUCGAGGGCAUAUCUUAACAAUGGAAGCUUUACCAGAAGACAAGGCAUGGGACCUCUUUUGUAAGAAAGCCUUUCCAAGAGAUACAAAUCAUGAAUGCAAUGUGGAGUUGAAGCCUUUAUCUGAGGAAAUAGUUAGCAAGUGCAAAGGCUUGCCUCUUGCUAUUGUGUCAGUUGGUAGCCUAUUGCGUGUGCGUGAGAAAAGUAUGGAAGAAUGGAGAAGAAUAAAUAACCAAUUGAGUUGGGAGCUAAUUAAUAAUUCUAGUCUUAGUGAUAUAAGGAAUGUUUUGCAUCUGAGCUUCAUAUACCUUCCAACACACUUGAAAAGUUGUUUCUUGUACUGCAGCUUGUUUCCUGAAGACUAUCUUUUCAAAAGGAAAGAACUUGUACGAUUAUGGACAGCCGAGGGGUUCAUCGAGGAGAGGGGUGAAAGCACAUUAGAAGAAGUGGCAGAAGGCUAUCUGAAGGAGUUGAUUGAUAGAAACAUGCUACGACUUGUUAAAAGGAACAGUUUUGGUAGGAUGAAGAAAUUCAGAAUGCACGAUAUCUUACGUGAAUUGGCAAUGGACUUGUGCCAGAAGAACUGCUUUUGUGUUAAAAAUGACAAUAAAUGUGGGGAGUCUCUUCAGAAGGAUGAUGGGCGUCGAUUGGUGCUGCAUAAACUAAAAAAUGACAUGCAACAACCAUUUUCCAAUAUGCACCAACUUCGAACUGUCAUUACAUUGGGCGGUAGCAAGUCGACAUUGGAUCUACUACCUCGGCUAUGUGAUAAGUCGAGAUAUAUGACAGUGCUAGAAUUAAGUGGUCUACCCUUCGAUAGGAUUCCAAAUGCUAUUGGUGAUCUUUUUAAUCUUCGCCAUUUGGGUUUGCGUAAUACAAAAGUGAAGUUACUCCCGAAGUCUGUUACGAAGCUUUCGAAUUUGUUGACACUGGACCUUUAUAGAUCUGACAUACAUGAGUUGCCUAGUGGGAUUGUGAAACUGAAGAAGCUCAGACACUUAUUUGCUGAGAAAACUAUUGAUCCGGAUUGGAGAGGAAUUGCAUGUUGCCAUGGUGUGUGUAUCCCCAAUGAUCUCGGAAAUCUAACAAACCUGCAGACGCUAUACGCGUUGGAAGCACAAGAUGAGUCUCUUAGACUACUAGGGGAGCUGAGGCAACUAAGGAGCUUGAGGUUAUUAAAUGUGAAAGGAAGCUAUUGUGGACGUAUCAGUGAAUCUCUAGUUCAAAUGCGGCAUUUGUCCUUGCUAUCUGUGAAUGCAAGUGAUGGGAAUGAGGUUCUCCUAUUGAAUGUCCUCCUGCCAAGCCUGCAAAAGCUACGUCUGAGAGGACGGUUAGCAGAAUGGUCAUUGGAUGAGUCUCCUCUCUUCCAAGGUGUAGGCGGGCAGAACUUGUAUGAAUUGUCUCUAUAUUGGUCACAAUUGAGAGAAGACCCCCUGCCAUCCCUUUCCCGGUUGUCAAAUUUGACGUGUCUACAGUUCACAAGAGCAUACAAUGGAGAGCAGCUGACAUUUCUCUCGGGUUGGUUUCCCAAGCUAAAGAUUCUCUUUCUAAGAGACUUGCCUAAUCUGAAUCGGCUAGAGAUACAGCAAGGUGCCAUGGCGAGCCUGGAAAAAUUAUACUUAACCAACCUCAACAGCAUGACUGAGGUUCCACCGGGCAUUGAGUUCCUCCUGUCCCUCCAGUAUCUAACCUUCCGUGAAAUUACCAAUGACUUCUUGUCGGUGCUGCGCGGAUGUUCUGCAAUUGAAGGGACACAGUGGCAGCAUACUCUCCGACGUUGA